rnacentral:rRNA from 1 species
AGCAGUGGGGAAUAUUGGACAAUGGGGGAAACCCUGAUCCAGCAAUGCCGCGUGAGUGAAAAAGGCCUUAGGGUUGUAAAACUCUUUCACCCGUGAAGAUGAUGACGGUAGCGGGAGAAGAAGCUCCGGCUAACUCCGUGCCAGCAGCCGCGGUAAUACGGAGGGGGCUAGCGUUGUUCGGAAUUACUGGGCGUAAAGCGCGCGUAGGCGGCUUAUCAAGUUAGGCGUGAAAGGCCUGGGCUCAACCCGGGAACUGCGCUUAAUACUGGUAGACUUGAGUCCGGGAGAGGGUGGCGGAAUUCCCAGUGUAGAGGUGAAAUGCGUAGAUAUCGGGAGGAACACCAGAGGCGAAGGCGGCUUCCUGGACAGACACUGACGCUGAGGCGCGAAAGCUAGGGGAGCAAACGGGAUUAGAUACCCCGGUAGUCCUAGCUGUAAACGAUGGGUACUAGAUGUGGGGGGUAAUAGAAAGUCCUUCCGUGUCGGCGAUAACUCAAUAAGUACCCCGCCUGGGGAGUACGGCCGCAAGGCUGAAACUCAAAGGAAUUGACGG